rnacentral:RNase_P_RNA from 1 species
AUCCAAGAGGAAAGUCUGGGCUGCCGUGAAGUAGGGUUCCAUUGAGAGAAUGGCUAGAGUAAUCUAAGGGAUAGUGCAACAGAAAGUAAAUCGCCACUUUAAGAAAACACUGUACAUUUAUGUAUGAUGUUUUUUGUGGUAAGAGUGAAACGGAGAGGUAAGAGCUCCCCAGUGUUUUGAGUAAUCUUAACAGCUAUGUAAACCCAACCCGCAGCAAGAAGAGAUGGUAAUAAACUUCACAAUUUAUUCUCUUCGCUAGAGCCUUAAAGUAAUUUAGGGCCUAGAUAAAUUAUUAUCGUAAACAAAACUCAGCUUAUAGUUGUGCC